rnacentral:tRNA from 1 species
GCCCCCGUAGCUCAGUGGAUAGAGCAUUGGAUUCCUAAUCCAUGUGUGCAAGUUCGAUUCUCGCCGGGGGUACCA